rnacentral:rRNA from 1 species
AUUGAACGCUGGCGGCAGGCCUAACACAUGCAAGUCGAGCGGAUGAAGGGAGCUUGCUCCUGGAUUCAGCGGCGGACGGGUGAGUAAUGCCUAGGAAUCUGCAUGGGAGUGGGGGAUAACGUCCGGAAACGGGCGCUAAUACCGCAUACGUCCUGAGGGAGAAAGUGGGGAUCUUCGGACCUCACGCUAUCAGAUGAGCCUAGGUCGGAUUAGCUAGUUGGUGGGGUGAAGGUCUACAAAGGCGAGGAUCCGUAACUGGUCUGAGAGGAUGAUCAGUCACACUGGAACUGGAGCACGGUCCAGACCACUAGGGGAGGCAGCAGGGGGGGAUUUUGGAGGGAGGGAGAAGGGCUGAACCUGGCAUGCCGCGUGUGUGAAUAAGGUCUUCGGAUUGUGAAACACUUUAAGUUGGGAGGAAGGGCAGUAAGUUUGUACCUUGCUAUUUUGACGUUACCAACAGAAUAAGCACCGGCUAACUUCGUG